UGGACAGACGGGGAAUUGAACCCCGGACCUCUCCCAAGCUCAUCCAACUCAUUCAUUUGAUUGAAAGAUGCUAAGGGAAAAUCAUACCACUAGACCACCCGCCC